AAGGAAACAGAGAGCAGAGGGAGAGGGUGACGGAACAGAGAAGAAGAGGGAGAAGUGGAUCGUCAUCGGGGAGGGAGGAGACUGCCGCCGUCGUGAGCCAUCACUGCGCACUGCCGUCGAGUACACGGACCAGAGGGAGAUGCGAGCAGUGACUGAGAGGAAGCUCCGUCCUCGUCGCCGUUCCAUAGUCGCUGUUGAAGCCAACCUCGUUGUCGUCGAAUCGUUGCUGCUGUGCCGCCAUCAAGUCUGAGUUGAGGAAAGGAGACGUGGAGUCGGUGUCGCCCAGAGAGAAACGCGAAUGGCGAGGCGAAGCAGAACGCAUGGUGGGAAGGCUUUCCUAAUUCAUGAACCAAGGUGGAGGAGAAGGCCGUCUUCCCCGUUGCUGCUAUAAUCGUCUGUGCUGCUGCCGGUGCUUCAUUGUUCUGUUAUUCCUUUCUAAUUCUUAAUUAUUACUCUACCCAAUAUGAAUUCAUUGUUUUGCUCACUGUCGUCGCCAACUCGCGUUGCUGCUGCCCUGUCAAAGCUGUUGUGAGUGUUGCUAACAUUGGCGGAUAAGGGAUGAAGGAGCUGCUGCAUUUUGGGUGCAGCCCAACCAGUCAUCACGCCACAAUUCCGUCUUCAGUUUCGGUUUCUAUGAAAUUCGACAUUAAGCGACAGGUUUGAAGACGCAAUUUGAAGCUGCGAGCAAUUAGUAGGUUUUCUUUAUG